CCGUGCUCUGGGUCCCCUCGGGGGCCCGACACCCCACCCUUUGUAGUUACAUGACUAUCGUUGCUUCGGCGGGACGGCCCCCCAACCGGGUGGGCCGCCGGGCCCCAAACCGCCCGGAGAGCUCCCGCCGGAGGACCACAAACACCAGCCUUAACGAGUACGUCUGAGUGAGAAUUUAAUAAUUCA
rnacentral:misc_RNA from 1 species